UUACAUGCAGUUGACGGCUAACAUAAAUUUAAAUUUAUUUAAAUUUGAUGGCAAGUAGCGAACGGGUGAGUAAUAUACUAGAAUAUACCCUUUAGUGGGGGAUAACUAAUUGAAAAAUUAGCUAAUACCGCAUAAUAUCUCUUUUUUUGAGAUUAAAGUAGGGGAUAAUUGGUUUUACCUUACGCUAUAGGAAUAGCUAGUAUCUGAUUAGCUUGUUGGUAAGGUAAAGGCUUACCAAGGCAAUGAUCAGUAGCUGGUUUGAGAGAAUGAACAGCCACACUGGAACUGAGAUACGGUCCAGACUCUUACGGGAGGCAGCAGUGGGGAAUUUUGGACAAUGGGGGAAACCCUGAUCCAGCAAUAUCGCGUGAGUGAAGAAGGCUUUCGGGUUGUAAAACUCUUUUGUCAGGGAUUAAAAAUUUUAGCUAAUAUCUAAAACAUAUGACAGUACUUGAAGAAUAAGCACCGGCUAACUACGUGCCAGCAGCCGCGGUAAUACGUAGGGUGCAAGCGUUAAUCGGAAUUAUUGGGCGUAAAGAGUGCGCAGGUGGUUAUAUAAGAUAAAUAUAAAAUCUCUAAGCUUAACUUAGUAAAUGUAUUUAUAACUAUAUAUCUUGAGUAUACCAGAGAAGAAUAGAAUUUUGCAUGUAACAGUGAAAUGUGUUGAUAUGCUUAAGAAUACCAAUGGCGAAGGCAAUUCUUUGGGGUAUUACUGACACUAAUGCACGAAAGCGUGGGGAGCGAUCAGGAUUAGAUACCCUGGUAGUCCACGCCUUAAACUUUGUCUACUAAUUGUUUAAUCUUUGAUAUGAUUUUAUAAUAAAGCUAACGCGUCAAGUAGACCGCCUGGGGAGUACGGUCGCAAGAUUAAAACUCAAAGGAAUUGACGGGGACCCGCACAAGCGGUGGAUGAUGUGGAUUAAUUCGAUGCUACACGAAAAACCUUACCUACCCUUGACUUGUCUAGAAUCUUAAAGAAAUUUAAGAGUGCUUUUUAAUAAAAAGAACUAGAACACAGGUGCUGCAUGGCUGUCGACAGCUCGUGUCGUGAGAUGUUGGGUUAAGUCCUUUAACGAGCGCAACCCUUGUUGUUAGUUGCUGAAAAUAAUAUAUUAUUACAGAUCUCUAACAAGACUGCCGAUGUUAAAUCGGAGGAAGGUAAGGACGACGUCAAGUCCUCAUGGCCCUUAUGGGUAGGGCUUCACACGUCAUACAGUGAUAUAUACAAAAAGAUGCGUAACUGUAAAGUUAGCAAAUCAUAAAGGAUU
rnacentral:rRNA from 1 species